GACGAACGCUGGCGGCGUGCCUAACACAUGCAAGUCGAGCGAAGUGAGUACUACGGUACGAACUUAGCGGCGGACGGGUGAGUAACGCGUGGACAAUCUACCCUGUAGACUGGGAUAACACCUCGAAAGGGGUGCUAAUACCGGAUAAUGUCGAGAAGCGGCAUCGCUUUUCGAAGAAAGGAGAGAAUCCGCUACAGGAGGAGUCCGCGUCCCAUUAGCUAGUUGGUGAGGGUAACGGCCCACCAAGGCGACGAUGGGUAGCCGGCCUGAGAGGGGGAACGGCACCACUGGAACUGAGACAAGGUCCAGACUCCUACGGGAGGCAGAAGUGGGGAAUAUUGUGCAAUGGGGGAAACCCUGAAACAGCAACGCCGCGUGAGCGAAGAAGGCCUUCGGGUUGUAAAGCUCAAUAGUAUGGGAAGAUAAUGACGGUACCAUACGAGAGCCCCGGCUAACUACGUGCCAGCCGCCGCGGUAACAC
rnacentral:rRNA from 1 species